GUUGCGCCACAGGGGUCUCCAGGGCCCUCGCAGGUUGGGGUGGUCUGAGCUAGUCUGAAGGAGGACAGUCAGCUGACUUCUCCUUUAUCUCUCUUUCCCAGGAUAGCAGGUUCCCUUGGUGUAUUACAGUUUCUGAAGUGUUGAUUCCCUUUUCAAUUGAUUCCACAGAUGACAGUCCUGACGUUUAAAAAAUUGCCAGAUAACCUUUAAUUUUUUUUUUUUUAACAGAACACAAACUUAAGCCAGAUUGCCUAGGAUUGAACCUUGGCCUCUCACUUCCUAGACGAGUGGCCUUGGCUAGUUAACCACCUUCGUGAGCCUCAGUUUUGUCAUCUGUAAAAUGGGAGUCAUAAGUGUCUACCUCACAGAGCUGUGAUUGAAAGGAUAAAUAGCACCUUGCACAUAGCGGUGUAGAAGUGCUUGUUAUUGUUAAUAUUUUAUUUACCUUCACGCAGGUAACAGCCACAACAUCUGCCCACUCUUCCCCACACCUUACUGUCCCUUGAAAUGUUUCCCAUUUUACUAUAGUAUGCAUUUUUUGGCUUCUUCCCUUUAGGGAAAUGAGUAUGUGAUAGUAAAGCGUGUCUUGGUUUAUGUCCUAGGAGUCAGAAGCUAAGAGACUCCUUUUUGUGCUUGUACAUUUGUCUUAACUGAAAAUAACCCAAGGAUAAGGAAACAAAUAGCUUCCUGAAAUUACUCGGAUUGCGGGGGUGAGGGGUGAGGGCUGGGGGGUGGUGAUUCUGUCUUCAUAGGAUGGCAGCAAAGGCCAAAGUCUUAUUUGAGUUAUUACCAUUAUUAUUCACCACACUUGCCAUCUUAUUUCAAGCCUACAGUGGCGGAAGUGGAGUAAGACAUCAUGUUGCCUCAAGUUUAAUUGGAAAUCGCGUGCCUUGUGAAGAAUGGACACUCAGUAGAUGCUUAUUGAUGAACCUGUUGGUUGAGGAUAACUCGCUAACUUUUCUGAGCUUUGUUGGAAAAACUAGACAGGGGUCUCACUAUGUGAUGCAGGAUGAUCUCAAACUCCCUGGCCUCAAGCGAUCCUCCUGCCUUGGUCUCCUAAAGUGCUGGGAUUACAGCAGGUCACUGUAUCUCUAUGCAUUACAGAAAAUGGCUAGUUAAAAACUUGUCAAGGCCAGUUGCAGGCAUGAUACCAGCAGUCUGGGAGGUAGAGACAAGAGGACACAUCUCUGCUGCUCCCUUCUUUCCCCAUGGUUAUGCGCCAACUUUGGUUUCACCAGGCCUACAGUGCUUCCCAGGUUUGGAGUGUGGGGAAGGAGAAGAUUUAAUGGAAGCAGCUUAAGGGAAAUGCUCAAACUAAACUGAUACUUUCUUCAUGAUCUAGCAUUGAAACUUUCUGGACUUGACAGAUAUUUAAAAUUAACUCUUUUUCUCAUUAACAUUUUCAUGGGUUCUUCCAAGAUCCACAUUACCCAACCUGUGGGUUCCCAUGACAAGGAUUAAGGCAUCUCUGUUUCUUCUGGACCUUUAUUUACCUGGAUUCUUUCUCUAGGGACUGUUUACCCUUAUGGGCCAUCCUUUUGAGCAUAACCUAACAAGAUUCAUGCUGGCUUUAAGUGAGUGGUCCACAUUUGGUUCAUGGGAAAACCACAUAGUUUGUCCCCAGCAAACCUGGAAGUAAUAUUUAUUUUACUGCUGGAAUUAAGGAAAACCAAAAAUCCUAUUACAAAAUGGCUCCUCUAAACAUUCACAUUACCCCUUUUUGUCUCUACCCCCUGAGGAACUAACCAACUCUAGCUCUUUGGAUUUUCCAAAUGAGAGGUCAACACAUCGAUGUCUCCAAGACCUUAAGUUCUUCUAGUGGUCUCUUUAAGCUUCCUCCCUUGAAUUAUGGUGAAAAGGGACUGCCUGCUACCCCCUCCUCUUGAGGAGAGGGGUGGUAUCACAGCCUAACAAUAAUUUCCAAAAAUUUUCUCCUCCAGCUCUAAUGCUUAACCAGUUUAGACUUUCAAAGUGGAUAAUGUAAUUUAAAGCCUUACAGCUAGUUAUGCUCUACUUCUUCUAUAAGUCCUGCAACCAGGUGGUCUCAAUCCUCACUUGCGAAUACUGCAUUUACUCACCUUGUGCCCUAGCCAAAACUUCCACAACAAAUUCUGUGGUGCAUUUAAGUGAAAGAUGUUAUUUGAUUGAUAGAGAGAUAGAUAGAUAGAUACAGAUAUAGAUAUAGAUAUGUAUUAGAACCAUGUCAAAUGGUUAACUUUUUUAAAAAGGUAAAUUUUUUAUAUUGAGAUAAUUAUAGAUUCUCAUACACUCGUAAGAAAUAACACAGAAAGAUCCCAUGUAGCCUUUAUCCAGUUUCCCCAGUGAUAAUAUCUUGCAAAACUAUAGUCCAAUAUCACAACCAAGAUACUGGCAUUGAUAGAUCACUUCCAUCACCACAAACAUCCCUCAUGUUGCCCUUUUAUAGCCACACUCAUUUCCCUCCUGCUGCCACCCUCUCCUUUACCCAUAACCACUUAUCUGUUCUCUAUUUUUGUAAUUUUAUCAUUUCAAGAAUACUGUAGAAAUGGAAUAAUACAGUAUGUAUUUUAGGGCUUAUCUUUUCUACACUCGGCAUGAUUCUCUGGAGAUUCAUCCAGGUUGUUGCAUGUAUCAAUAGUUCAUUCCUUUUUUACUGCUGAACAGUAUUCCAUUGUAUGUAUGUACCAUAGUUUAACUAUUUGCUCAAUGAAAGACAUAUAUUAAUAGUUUCCAGUUUUUGCUGUUAUGAAUAAAGC
rnacentral:lncRNA from 1 species